rnacentral:rRNA from 1 species
GAUCUGUUAGAGUAAUCGAAGCAGUGAACUUAAGCCCCAGUAAACGGCGGCCGUAACUAUAACGGUCCUAAGGUAGCGAAAUUCCUUGUCGGGUAAGUUCCGACCCGCACGAAAGGCGUAACGAUUUGGGCACUGUCUCAACAACAGACUCGGUGAAAUUGUAAUUCCGGUGAAGAUGCCGGAUACCUGCGACAGGACGGAAAGACCCCAUGGAGCUUUACUGUAGCUUGACAUUGGGUCUUGGUACUACAUGUACAGGAUAGGUGGGAGGCUUUGAAACCAGGACGCCAGUUUUGGCGGAGCCAUCCUUGGGAUACCACCCUUGUAGUACUGGGACUCUAACCAUAGGCCAUGAAUCUGGUCUUGGGACACUGUCAGGUGGGCAGUUUGACUGGGGCGGUCGCCUCCCAAAAGGUAACGGAGGCGCUCAAAGGUUCUCUCAGUACGGUCGGAAAUCGUACGUAGAGUGUAAAGGCAAAAGAGAGCUUGAUUGCAAGACAUACAGGUCGAGCAAGGAUGAAAAUCGGACUUAGUGAUCCGGUGGUUCUGCGUGGAAGGGCCAUCGCUCAACGGAUAAAAGCUACCCUGGGGAUAACAGGCUUAUCUCCCCCAAGAGUCCACAUCGACGGGGAGGUUUGGCACCUCGAUGUCGGCUCAUCACAUCCUGGGGCUGUAGUAGGUCCCAAGGGUUGGGCUGUUCGCCCAUUAAAGUGGUACGCGAGCUGGGUUCAGAACGUCGUGAGACAGUUCGGUCCCUAUCCGUCGCAGGCGUAGGAAAUUUGAGAAGACCUGUCCUUAGUACGAGAGGACCGGGAUGGACG